GGGGGAUAUUGCACAAUGGGGGAAACCCUGAUGCAGCGACGCCGCGUGAGCGAAGAAGGCCUUCGGGUCGUAAAGCUCUGUCCUAAGGGAAGAUAAUGACGGUACCUUAGGAGGAAGCCCCGGCUAACUACGUGCCAGCAGCCGCGGUAAAACGUAGGGGGCGAGCGUUGUCCGGAAUUACUGGGCGUAAAGGGUGCGUAGGCGGCUAUUUAAGUCAGAUGUGAAAGGCUACGGCUCAACCGUAGUGAGCAUUUGAAACUGAAUAGCUUGAGUCAAGGAGAGGGAAGUGGAAUUCCUGGUGUAGCGGUGAAAUGCGUAGAUAUCAGGAGGAAUACCAGUGGCGAAGGCGACUUCCUGGCCUUAGACUGACGCUGAGGCACGAAAGCGUGGGGAGCAAACAGGA
rnacentral:rRNA from 1 species